rnacentral:rRNA from 1 species
UAGUUACAGUAGGCAAACCUGGGGAACUGAAACAUCUAAGUACCUAGAGGAAAAGAAAUCAACCGAGAUUCUGUAAGUAGCGGCGAGCGAAAGCAGAGAAGCCCAGCUAUUAUGUGACGUACAUGUUAGUAGAAUCUGUUGGGAAGCAGAGCCAAAGAGGGUGAAAGCCCCGUAUGCGAAGGCAUGUAAGUUAGUUGAUUGCUAAGAGUAAGUCAGGACACGUGUUAUCCAGACUGAAGAAGGGGGGACCAUCCUCCAAGGCUAAAUACUCCUUACCGACCGAUAGUGAAGAGUACCGUGAGGGAAAGGCGAAAAGCACCCCGGAGAGGGGAGUGAAAUAGAACCUGAAACCGUAUGCGUACAAGCAGUGGGAGCAUGUUUUUAGUAGCGUGUGACUGCGUACCUUUUGUAUAAUGGGUCAGCGAGUUAUUGAGUGUAGCAAGCCUAACCGAAGAGGGAAGGCGCAGGGAAACCGAGUCAGAAAUUGGCGAAAUAGUUGCACUGAAUAGACCCGAAACCGAGCGAUCUAUCCAUGACCAGGGUGAAGUUGGGGUAACACCUACUGGAGGCCCGCACCCACUGAUGUUGAAAAAUCAGGGGAUGAGUUGUGGAUAGGAGUGAAAGGCUAAUCAAGCUCGGAGAUAGCUGGUUCUCCUCGAAAGCUAUUUAGGUAGCGCCUCAUGUUAAGUUAUUGGGGGUAGAGCACUGUUUCGGCUAGGGGGUCAUAGAGACUUACCAACCCGAUGCAAACUCCGAAUACCAAUAAGAGAUGCAUGGUUUA